ACGAACGCUGGCGGCGCGCCUAACACAUGCAAGUCGAACGAGAGAUGAGGAGCUUGCUCUUCAAAUCGAGUGGCGAACGGGUGAGUAACGCGUGAGGAACCUGCCUCAAAGAGGGGGACAACAGUUGGAAACGACUGCUAAUACCGCAUAAGCCCACGGCUCGGCAUCGAGCAGAGGGAAAAGGAGUGAUCCGCUUUGAGAUGGCCUCGCGUCCGAUUAGCUGGUUGGUGAGGUAACGGCCCACCAAGGCGACGAUCGGUAGCCGGACUGAGAGGUUGAACGGCCACAUUGGGACUGAGACACGGCCCAGACUCCUACGGGAGGCAGCAGUGGGGAAUAUUGCACAAUGGGGGAAACCCUGAUGCAGCGACGCCGCGUGGAGGAAGAAGGUCUUCGGAUUGUAAACUCCUGUUGUUGAGGAAGAUAAUGACGGUACUCAACAAGGAAGUGACGGCUAACUACGUGCCAGCAGCCGCGGUAAAACGUAGGUCACAAGCGUUGUCCGGAAUUACUGGGUGUAAAGGGAGCGCAGGCGGGAGAACAAGUUGGAAGUGAAAUCCAUGGGCUCAACCCAUGAACUGCUUUCAAAACUGUUUUUCUUGAGUAGUGCAGAGGUAGGCGGAAUUCCCGGUGUAGCGGUGGAAUGCGUAGAUAUCGGGAGGAACACCAGUGGCGAAGGCGGCCUACUGGGCACCAACUGACGCUGAGGCUCGAAAGUGUGGGUAGCAAACAGGAUUAGAUACCCUGGUAGUCCACACCGUAAACGAUGAUUACUAGGUGUUGGAGGAUUGACCCCUUCAGUGCCGCAGUUAACACAAUAAGUAAUCCACCUGGGGAGUACGACCGCAAGGUUGAAACUCAAAGGAAUUGACGGGGGCCCGCACAAGCAGUGGAGUAUGUGGUUUAAUUCGACGCAACGCGAAGAACCUUACCAAGUCUUGACAUCCCUUGACGAACAUAGAAAUAUGUUUUCUCUUCGGAGCAAGGAGACAGGUGGUGCAUGGUUGUCGUCAGCUCGUGUCGUGAGAUGUUGGGUUAAGUCCCGCAACGAGCGCAACCCUUAUGGUCAGUUACUACGCAAGAGGACUCUGGCCAGACUGCCGUUGACAAAACGGAGGAAGGUGGGGAUGACGUCAAAUCAUCAUGCCCCUUAUGAUCUGGGCUACACACGUGCUACAAUGGCGUAAACAAAGGGAGGCAAAGCCGCGAGGUGGAGCAAAUCCCUAAAAGCUGUCCCAGUUCAGAUUGCAGGCUGCAACUCGCCUGCACGAAGUCGGAAUUGCUAGUAAUCGUGGAUCAGCAUGCCACGGUGAAUACGUUCCCGGGCCUUGUACACACCGCCCGUCAAGCCAUGGAAGCCGGGAGUGCCUGAAGUGCGUGACCGCAAGGAGCGCCCUAGGGUAAAACCGGUGACUGGGGCU
rnacentral:rRNA from 1 species